rnacentral:rRNA from 1 species
GCGUAUAUUAAAGUUGUUGCAGUUAAAAAGCUCGUAGUUGAAUUUCGGGGUCAGCAGGUUGGUCGUGCCACUGGUAUGUACUGGCUUCGCUGAUUCCUCCUUUCUGAAGAACUGUAAUGUCAUUAAUUUGGUGUUGCAGGGAAACAGGACUGUUACUUUGAAAAAAUUAGAGUGUUUAAAGCAGGCUAACGCUUGAAUACAUUAGCAUGGAAUAAUGAAAUAGGACGUUUGAUCCUAUUUUGUUGGUUUCUAGGAUUGACGUAAUGAUUAAUAGGGAUAGUUGGGGGCAUUAGUAUUCAAUUGUCAGAGGUGAAAUUCUUGGAUUUAUUGAAGACUAACUACUGCGAAAGCAUUUGCCAAGGAUGUUUUCAUUAAUCAAGAACGAAAGUUAGGGGAUCGAAGACGAUCAGAUACCGUCGUAGUCUUAACCAUAAA